GACGAACGCUGGCGGCGUGCUUAACACAUGCAAGUCGAACGGAAAGGCCCUGCUUUUGUGGGGUGCUCGAGUGGCGAACGGGUGAGUAACACGUGAGUAACCUGCCCUUGACUUUGGGAUAACUUCAGGAAACUGGGGCUAAUACCGGAUAGGAGCUCCUGCUGCAUGGUGGGGGUUGGAAAGUUUCGGCGGUUGGGGAUGGACUCGCGGCUUAUCAGCUUGUUGGUGGGGUAGUGGCUUACCAAGGCUUUGACGGGUAGCCGGCCUGAGAGGGUGACCGGCCACAUUGGGACUGAGAGACGGCCCAGACUCCUACGGGAGGCAGCAGGGGGGAAUAUUGCACAAUGGGCGGAAGCCUGAUGCAGCAACGCCGCGUGCGGGAUGAAGGCCUUCGGGUUGUAAACCGCUUUCGCCUGUGACGAAGCGUGAGUGACGGUAAUGGGUAAAGAAGCACCGGCUAACUACGUG
rnacentral:rRNA from 1 species